CUGCUGCUCUGCACACUGACCCCUCCACCAGCAAUCGCUCUGAAAAUAAUUUAAAAAGUACUUUCAACCACUGCUGCUCUGCACGCUAACUCACUUCACCAGGAAUCUUUCCAGAAACAUGUUACCAGAUCUUCUCGAUCCAACUAUUACUGCCCUGAAGCCUUAAAUUCAUUCACGUGAAUGACUCGCAAGUGGUUUUUUUCAAUGACUGUCUAUAAUUAUGCAUGACUAACUUAACUCUUAUUAACUCAAUAACAUGACUAACCUCACUAACUUAAUUAUGCAGUUAUUAUAAAAACCACUUGUUGAGAUUUACUAUGAAGGUCUUAAUGGGGUUACGUGGAAGACACCGCUCCAUGAUAUUAAUCAGGGUAAACAACUUCAAGCCAAGUGCUCUUCAACGCUCAAGUUGCUCAUGAGUGAGAACAAUCAUUUGAUCUACUAAUUAUGCUGUCCGUCCGUCCGUCCGUCCGUCCGUCCGUCUCUUCACCAGAGAAGA